UAAUACGGAGGGUGCGAGCGUUAAUCGGAAUUACUGGGCGUAAAGCGUACGUAGGCGGUUCAGUCAGUCAGAUGUGAAAGCCCUGGGCUCAACCUGGGAACUGCAUUUGAUACUGCUGAACUAGAGUGUGGUAGAGGGAAGUGGAAUUCCGGGUGUAGCGGUGAAAUGCGUAGAUAUCCGGAGGAACACCAGUGGCGAAGGCGGCUUCCUGGACCAACACUGACGCUGAGGUACGGAAGCGUGGGUAGCAAACAGGAUUAGAUACCCUGGUAGUCCACGCUGUAAACGAUGUCAACUAGCCGUUGGGGAGUUUAAUCUCUUUAGUGGCGCAGCUAACGCGAUAAGUUGACCGCCUGGGGAGUACGGCCGCAAGGUUA
rnacentral:rRNA from 1 species